CUGCGAUUUCUCAAAGAAACUUUUACAGUGUGUUGUACUACUUUUGGGACAAAUUAUAUCAAAAUUAUAGAAAACUUCACCGUCUCUAACUCAAAAUAUGGACAAUUUUAUCUUUAGGGCGUCUUGAAAUCGUUUGACAGCUUCCAAAGUACUAUUUUUCAACCUUUUUCACCUGGACCAAAUCACUACUUUCCUUUAAAAUUCUGGACCCAA
rnacentral:lncRNA from 1 species